rnacentral:lncRNA from 1 species
GGGGCAUAUGGGGUCAUAAUGCCCCAUAAUGGGGGCUUAUAGGAUCAUAUGGGGUUAUAUGGGGGCAUAUGGGGGCAUAUGGGGGCAUAUGGGGGCAUAUGGGGUCAUAAUGCCCCAUAAUGGGGGCUUAUAGGGUCAUAUGGGGGCAUAUGGGGGCAUAUGGGGUUGUAUGGGGCCAUAUGGGGUUGUAUGGGGUUAUAUGGGGUUAUAUGGGGUCCUAUGGGGUCUUAUGGGGUCAUAUAGCCCCCCUGCAAUGCUCAGUGAAUUGAGGCAGCGGGUCUGCAUCGAGCGCAAACCACUGCGGUUCCUGUCCGAGCGGCUCAGCUCGUUAUUACACACUGCCCCCUGUUCAUUGUCCCCAUUAUGCCCCAUUACUUUAUUACCCCCAUUAAUUACCCCAUUAAUUAAUGACCCCAUUAAUUAA